UCAGGUUGGAAAAGACCUUAAAGAUCAUCCAAGUCAGUUCUUUGGUAUUAAAAAGAUGCCUGCAUGUGGUGGUGUCAGAGUUGGAAAGAGUUUCAACUCAGCUCCUCCUGGGGACCAAUUUUUUCCUUAUGGAGACCAAACCAAAACCAUACACACUCCAAAGCAGAUUCUUUCACCUAAAUUAUGGCCCAAAUAACAUGUUACUAGUCCGUUGGUCUCAAAGGCCCCUGGAAGAUGAAUCUCCUUCUUUAAGAAGGUGUUGCAGGGAUUGGAAGCGUAAUCAUAAAAAAGUGAUUAGUCUGUAUGCUGUUGCGGGGCACCUGUUUAUAAGGUGCUAAUCCUUAUCAUCCAAUUUAGGGUUGUUUCUAAAUACCCUUCUGCAGAAAAACAGCAGUAUCUUCAGUGCUCCGUGCGCACACUGUAAAGUGAGGGCUCUGCAAGAAGUACCAGACAAGGCCAGGGCACCAUGCCUUAUUUAUUCCAAGUCCAUAUUUAAAUUCAUGCAACAUCAGAGCGUGCAAGAUACACAGCAUUAAGCCUAUAGUGUAUUUAAAUAUAUAUACGUACGUACAUACAUACAUACAUUUUAAAACCAGGGUGGACUAACAAACCACCUUUCCCAAGCUCUACUACAGUGCCAGUGUGACCUUCAUACAUCAGGCUUGGUUUGCCUUUCCAGUGCAACUAAGAUGUGAUCCGAAGCUCAUGGAAGUAACUGGGGAAAAACUCUGGAUAUUUGUCUUCUCUGUUGGUCUCUCGACUCUUACAUUAGCAGCAGCACCACAAGGCAGAAGAUUUGGCCCAUAACCCUACUCCUGGCCAGCAUUCCCAGCAUGUUUUUUGCUAAUUCAUCAUUGAACCCAGCACCUAUAAUCGAUGCAAGUGUCGUAAUAAAAUUUAAUUCAGAGACAAUUUUCAUUAAGAUCCAACUUUUUUUUUAAGAUUAGAUUUUCAGUAGUAAUGAAAAUUAUAUGGGUCAUAUUGAAGAAGUCAGUGAUUCGCUUGCUUGCUAUUUUUCCUGUGCCUCCCACUCCCCUUCAACAUCUCACUGGGAGCUACCACGUGCAAAGACUCUGCAACGUUUUAAUGUCUGUCAGGUUACCUUUGUUAAUACAGUUCUGACUUUAUGAGCUUGUUUCAUUAUUAAGAUUUGGAUCACUCUUUCAGUGGGGACCUAAUUAUAGGUGUGAUUCCACAAGCAGCAUCCUCCAGUACUGUGCAGGUGCUGAUUUUUCAAAGACACAGAGGAGUACAUGUGUUCCCAUGGGAAAGAUCCAAAUUAAUGCCAGAAAGAAAAGCAAGAGAGUAUUUCUGUUAUUGGUGUUUCAGUGUAUUUUUUGUCUGUGAUUUAUACAUAUAUCUGUAUGUAUAUACAUGCAUGUAGGUCAUUCUGAAAGCAAUGCCC
ensembl:lncRNA